rnacentral:rRNA from 1 species
CAGCAGCCGCGGUAAUACGUAGGUACCGAGCGUUAUCCGGAUUUACUGGGCGUAAAGCGCGUUCAGGCGGCAUAGCAAGUCGGGCAUGAAAUCUCUCGGCUCAACCGGGAGAGGCUGUCCGAUACUGCUGGGCUUGAGGGCAGUAGAGGGUGGUGGAAUUCCUGGUGUAGCGGUGGAAUGCGCAGAUAUCAGGAGGAACACCGAUGGCGAAGGCAGAUCUCUGGGCCGUAACUGACGCUGAGGAGCGAAAGGGUGGGGAGCAAACAGGCUUAGAUACCCUGGUAGUCCACCCCGUAAACGUUGGGAACUAGUUGUGGGGUCCUUUCCACGGAUUCCGUGACGCAGCUAACGCAUUAAGUUCCCCGCCUGGGGAGUACGGCCGCAAGGCUAAAACUCAAA